rnacentral:lncRNA from 1 species
CCACGGAGGAGCUGGGAUCCAUUGAUAAAGUUAGCUGAGGCACCUGUAUUUGUGCUCUUUCCCUUACGAUGAAGGAAAUAGUGCCUUGGGGAUGUUAUGCACUUUGCCGGAGAAGUAAAGGGGACCCUGAGAUGACUGGGUAUAAAAAGGAGAGAGAAGUCAAUGACGAAUAGGAGGAGAAAAAGCUGGCCCUACUGUGCCAUAUGAUCGGUCCAACAGCCACAGCCACAGCAUUUAUUAUGUAGCUACUGUGUCACAGCUCCAAGCUAGUGCUGAGGGCAUAAAGACUAAAGAUGACACAGUUCCUGCCCUCAAGGAGCUUGUGUUACAUGGGGGAGACAAGGUGUCCCUAUGUUGGUUUGUGCGUGAGAGGAUCUAUACUAGCAUUUGGAAGGAUUCAGAAAGCCUUAUGGGGAGAUGCUGAGCUUGGAAAGAAAGAAGGAAAACUGCUGAUUGCUUUCUGGCUCAAAACUAUUUUUGCUGGUUGUCGAGGAGUACUAUUCAAAAUGAUGAAAGCCAGCUGAGUUUCUAUAUGUUUGAUGAGGCAGUAAGAUCUGCCAGAUGAGGGCAAACUUGGAGAAAUGGUGUUAAUCACCAAUGAGUGCAUAUAAUCAAUCUGAAAAAAAAGAUGGAUCUACCAGUUCAAUCUAUUUCCAAUAUCUGGGCCUUCAUUUCUGAAAUGACAGGGAAAUGGCUAUUUACACAGCUCUUAUAGUAGUUGAUUGGCUUUGGAAAUUCCAAAAUACUUUCAUUUGUACCCCAAAUAACUAAAACAAUAACUAAAUAUGUGUUAUAUAUUUAGCUAAAUAUAUAAUAACUAAAUAAUCUUCUACACUGGAUUGUCUUCCAUUUAAAUUAAACAAUUCUAUCCCACCAAAAAAAAAGUUUACAAUGAUUAUCUAUUAGUGCUUAACUAAUAGAUAAGAUUUAUUUAAGAUUUUAUUAUGAUACAUUUAAUAGUUCGUUCCUUGGGAGAUUGGGGAGGACAUAAUAGAAUCAUUUCAUUUUUCCAAUUACCCCGUUCUCCUGGGUUCCAGGCAUUCAUUUGUGCCAUGUACCAUGUUAAGUUGGGGGCUAGAAAGGCAAGUAAAAUCAGUCCCUGACCUCAAGAAACAAACAUGUUCAUGGGGGAGACAAGUAGAUAGUUAGGUACAGACAAUAUAUACAUGCAAUGGUUAAA